CCCGCUGAACUUAAGCAUAUCAAUAAGCGGAGGAAAAGAAACCAACAGGGAUUGCCUCAGUAACGGCGAGUGAAGCGGCAAAAGCUCAGAUUUGAAAUCUGGCGUCUUCGGCGUCCGAGUUGUAAUCUGUAGAGGAUGCCUUUGGGUGGCCACCGGUCUAAGUCCCCUGGAACGGGGUGUCACAGAGGGUGAGAAUCCCGUAUGUGACCGGGAAGGCGCCCUAUACAUGGCUCCUUCGACGAGUCGAGUUGUUUGGGAAUGCAGCUCUAAAUGGGAGGUAAAUUCCUUCUAAAGCUAAAUACCGGCCAGAGACCGAUAGCGCACAAGUAGAGUGAUCGAAAGAUGAAAAGCACUUUGGAAAGAGAGUUAAAAAGCACGUGAAAUUGUUGAAAGGGAAGCGCUUGCAACCAGACUUGUUGGCGGUGUUCCGCCGGUCUUCUGACCGGUCUACUCACCGUCUGCAGGCCAGCAUCAUCUGGGGCCGCUGGAUAAAAGCGGAGGGAAUGUGGCUCCUCCGGGAGUGUUAUAGCCCUCUGUGUAAUACAGCGAGUCCCGGGUGAGGUCCGCGCUUCGGCUAGGAUGCUGGCGUAAUGGUCGUAAGCGGCCCGUCUUGAAACACGGACCAAGGAGUCUAACAUCUAUGCGAGUGUUCGGGUGUCAAACCCCUACGCGUAAUGAAAGUGAACGGAGGUGGGAACCUUUUAGGUGCACCAUCGACCGAUCCUGAUGUCUUCGGAUGGAUUUGAGUAAGAGCAUAGCUGUUGGGACCCGAAAGAUGGUGAACUAUGCCUGGAUAGGGUGAAGCCAGAGGAAACUCUGGUGGAGGCUCGCAGCGGUUCUGACGUGCAAAUCGAUCGUCAAAUUUGGGUAUAGGGGCGAAAGACUAAUCGAACCAUCUAGUAGCUGGUUCCUGCCGAAGUUUCCCUCAGGA
rnacentral:rRNA from 1 species